GGCUGCCCACUUUCUCCCUAGCCUUAUCUUCUUUCUGAACCCAUAACUCAUGCUCUGUCCCACAACAGUAGCAAUGGACAAUUAAAAUGCGCACAAUUCAAGUUCAAAAUGUGUCGAACACGUUCCGAGUACUAAGAACAAUGCCAGCAUUAGAACCAAAACCUGAUUAGUGUAAGAAAGUUUUCCUGACAUCAAUUGUUCAUCCUAUGCAUUUGGAUCCGGUAGUUAUUUUAAAAAUGGUACACAUCUAGAAACUUAUUUUAAAUAUACAGGAAAUAGAAAAUUGUCAUUUCAUAAUCUAGCAAAGUGACACUUUCCAAACCUAUUUGUGCUAAAAACACAAGCUGUUGUAACCUACAGGUAUAAUGUAGAGUCAAACAUCCUUACAUGUACAUGCCACAACCUUCACCAAAUAUACAUUGCUCGAUCACAAUUGGUUUCUGAUCUUUAGGAAUACAACCUAAGCCAAAUUGAGUUUGAUGCUAUGAAACAAUGCACAAUGAAAUUACCAGGUCAGCGUGAACUUGGUUAAUAACCUGACAUUAGAGGUAGAGCUUUGACCAAAUAGAAAUAAGCAGUCUAAGUAAUUAAGUGCUGAACACCUAAGAAAAGUAUCAAAAUUCUGGUUUACCGAUUGGAGAUUAAGUUGGACAGGGAGCAGUGGUCCACCUUGGUCUCAACACAUGGAUUAGCUGGUUCGGCUGCAAGAUGCCUAGGGUGGUAGCUCUCUUCUGUUGCAAUACAUCUUAUCAGCUCAAGUACUGAAAUACCAUGUACAAUAGUAAUUAAUUCUCUGCAAAAAAAAAACUGUGUGAGAUUGAAUCUGCAAGCACAAAAAAACAGAACUGGCCAAAGCUUAAAAACCUUUUGCAUCUAAAUGCAAUAUCUUGUCUCAUGUCUCACCUAUUCAAGUCAAAAUGCACCAGCUGCAUGUCUUCUGAUAUCUCGACUUGCACAGCUCCAUAAGAUGAAGUCUGCAAUAAAGAAGUUCUAAAACCAUGUGCAAUCUAGAUGCUACUGCUUUUGCCAUCUAGAGUAAUAUUAAUAUAGAAGCAUCCCACAAGAAACUGCAUCUAAAAAACAUCCCAAAAGAAACUGCAUUUGCCCAGAUUAUUUGCCCAUCUACCACUAUAUGUACUAUUUUACCAUCUAAAAAGAAAUAGCUGCAAACAUUUCUACAUUCUAUGUAGUGUCAAACAAACUCAUCCUUGUGCAGAGAAUUAAUCUGCCAAUAAUUUCCUGUUUUUUUCAAAAAAAAUCUACCAAUAAUCAAUUAAGUAAACUAAUGAUAUCUAUUAUGGGUCAAAUUAUUGAUCGAGAUUGGACUGAAGUGAAUACAACUAUAUGAACAUGGCUAGCAAAUUUUAGGAGAGUUUUUCCCUCUCCUUCAUUGCCUUUGCUUGGAAAUUGGAAACAAAAGGCACUGCCUCAUCAGACUAUCUGUGAACUUGUGUACGGCUAAAUGUUGUAGUGUCUUUUUUUUUUAUCUUUUCGCUCAUAAACAGAUCCUCAUACAGAGAUCAAGAGAAGAAGCUAAAAUAUGUUUUAUUAAUCCUAAAAGCAAAAGCAAGAUCUUAAAAUGACUUCAAAAUGGCAUCUGCAGUCCAUAUUGCGGAUGCUGGAAAAUCAGCAUGUAUUGAUUUGUAUGUUUGACUAAUUGAACUAUGCAAUGCAACCUUGUCAUCAAGAACCAUGAUCCCGAUGCAGCUAUAGGGUUGGAAUGAAGAGCAUGUGCUGCACAGUGAUAGAAUUAUAUAAAAGACAGCUGGAUUUAAAGUUCUUAUUCAGCACUUACACGUCCAGAGAAUCACCGUUCUUAUUCAGUCUACAGAACAAAAUAUUUCAGCAUAUACCUCCCCGGAUUCAACUGGAGCAAGCUCUAGCGCCCAGCAGUUUCACCGUGUCGAUCUGCUCGUGCAUGUCGUCCAGAGUAGUCACUGCAGC
rnacentral:lncRNA from 1 species